UACGUAGGGUGCGAGCGUUGUCCGGAAUUACUGGGCGUAAAGAGCUCGUAGGCGGUUUGGCAAGUCGGGUGUGAAAACUCCGGGCUCAACUCGGAGACGCCACUCGAUACUGCUAUGACUCGAGUCCGGUAGGGGAGUGCGGAAUUCCUGGUGUAGCGGUGAAAUGCGCAGAUAUCAGGAGGAACACCGGUGGCGAAGGCGGCACUCUGGGCCGGUACUGACGCUGAGGAGCGAAAGCGUGGGGAGCGAACAGG
rnacentral:rRNA from 1 species